rnacentral:rRNA from 1 species
CCUACGGGUGGCAGCAGUGGGGAAUCUUGGACAAUGGGCGCAAGCCUGAUCCAGCCAUGCCGCGUGAAUGAUGAAGGCCUUAGGGUUGUAAAAUUCUUUCGUCAGGGACGAUAAUGACGGUACCUGAAGAAGAAGCCCCGGCUAACUUCGUGCCAGCAGCCGCGGUAAUACGAAGGGGGCUAGCGUUGUUCGGAAUUACUGGGCGUAAAGCGCGUGUAGGCGGGUCGUUAAGUCGGGGGUGAAAGCCCAGAGCUCAACUCUGGAACUGCCUUCGAUACUGGCGACCUGGAGCAAGAUAGAGGCGGGUGGAAUUGCGAGUGUAGAGGUGAAAUUCGUAGAUAUUCGCAGGAACACCAGUGGCGAAGGCGACUCGCUGGAUCUUUGCUGACGCUGAGACGCGAAAGCGUGGGUAGCAAACAGGAUUAGAUACCCUGGUAGUC